GUGAGGAAUAUUGGUCAAUGGACAGAAGUCUGAACCAGCCAUGCCGCGUGAAGGAUGAAGGCGUUCUGCGUUGUAAACUUCUUUUAUCUGGGAAGAAACCACAGAUUUCUAUUUGUGUUGACGGUACCAGAGGAAUAAGCACCGGCUAACUCCGUGCCAGCAGCUGCGGUAAUACGGAGGGUGCGAGCGUUAUCCGGAUUUACUGGGUUUAAAGGGUGCGUAGGCGGGCUAUUAAGUCAGAGGUGAAAUCUCCGGGCUCAACCUGGAAACUGCCUUUGAUACUAUUAGCCUUGAAUUAUGUUGAGGUUGGCGGAAUAUAACAUGUAGCGGUGAAAUGCUUAGAUAUGUUAUGGAACACCGAUUGCGAAGGCAGCUGGCUAAACAUAUAUUGACGCUGAUGCACGAAAGCGUGGGUAGCGAACAGGAUUAGAUACCCUGGUAGUCCACGCCCUAAACGAUGAUUACUCGUCAUUUGUGAUACACAAUAAGUGACCAAGCGAAAGCGUUAAGUAAUCCACCUGGGAAGUACG
rnacentral:rRNA from 1 species